rnacentral:rRNA from 1 species
GACGUAGGGGGCCAGCGUUGUUCGGAAUUACUGGGUGUAAAGGGUUCGUAGGCGGUGCGGCAAGUUGGGAGUGAAAUCUCUGGGCUCAACCCAGAGGCUGCUUCCAAAACUGCUGUGCUUGAGUGUGGGAGAGGCGCGUGGAAUUGCAGGUGUAGCGGUGAAAUGCGUAGAUAUCUGCAGGAACACCCGUGGCGAAAGCGGCUUCCUGGUCCAGUACCGACGUUCAGGCACGAAAGCGUGGGGAGCAAACAGG